AAUAAGUACAGUUUUGCACUGUUCAUGUCCAAUGCUUUACCGUUCGUCUUAUUUGAAAAAAAAAUUGUGAUUAGUAUUUUUAUUAUUAUUAGAUGAUAAAACAUGAAUAAUACUUUAUGUAAGACUAUUUUUUAAAAAAAAUAUAAAAUUUUUAAAUAAGACUGACGGUCAAAUGUUGGACAUGAGUACCCACGACUGUAUUUAUU
rfam:Oryza glumipatula chromosome 1, whole genome shotgun sequence.